rnacentral:rRNA from 1 species
GAUGAACGCUGGCGGCGUGCUUAACACAUGCAAGUCGAACGAUGAAGCCCAGCUUUCUGGGUGGAUUAGUUGCGAACGGGUGAGUAACACGCGAGUAACCUGCCCUUAUCUCUGGGAUAAGCCUGUUAAACUGGGUCUAAUACCGGAUAGGAGCGCCUACCGCAUGGUGGGUGUUGGAAAGAUUUAUCGGUUUUGGGUGGACUCUCGGCCUAUCAGCUUGUUGGUGAGGUAUUGGCUCACCAAGGCGAAGACGGGUAGCCGGCCUGUGAGGGUGACCGGCCACAAUGGGACUGAGAGACGGACCAGAAUCCUACGGGAGGCAGCAGUGGGGAAUAUUGCACAAUGGGCGCAAGCCUGAUGCAGAGACGCCGCGUGAGGGAUGACGGCCUUCGGGUUGUAAACCUCUUUCAGUAGGGAAGAAGCGAAAGUGACGGUACCUGAAGAAGAAGCACCGGCUAACUACGUG